rnacentral:lncRNA from 1 species
UCCAUAAAUGAAAGAGCACUCAUAGAGAUUCAGAGUAUUGGAUUUUUCCCAGUUCUAUACAGACAUUCUUUUUCUUCUUCUUUAAGUGGCAUCAAUUUUUUUUAAGGAGGGAUAUACAUCCUGUUUCGUACUUUUACUUAUCCAAAAAAUAUCAUGGUUCAUACUUCUGUUUCAUUCUUUCACUUAUCAAAAAAAUCAUGGUUCAUACUUUUUUAGCAGGUAUGAAAAGCCUUAAUAUUUUUAUUUGAUUGCUUCCUUUUUUGUUCAGCCUGAUUUAGCACAAACAGGGGAUGAAGAAAUUAGUCGAGAUAUCUGUAGACUAGAAGAAAAUUACCAUGAGCAGGUAACAUUUGAUUGCAUAUUGAAAAUCUUUCAUGUCAAACUGGUAAAGCAAAGAACUAGAUUUGACCAGGCUAAUAUAACCAAACUAAGCAACAUUCAAAGAAGUGUUUGACCUUUUGGAAUUCAAGGUCAAUAAAAAUUUCAAUAUUUUUGUUAUUUUAUUUUUUUCGUUUUUUGUUGUUUAUGUGAACAGGUUUGACAAGAGCAACACCAGCUUGUAUCGGAACAUGGAAGCACCCCUGCACUUGAGUGCUACUUUAAGGUAAUGAUAUCCUUAUCAUUAUAUUAAUUUUUAAAUUUAUUUAAUAUUUGAUAUAACUGCAAAAAUAGAGAAAAAGAAGGGUGGAGAUUUGGAUUUUGAAUUUGGAGGUUGGGGAGAGUUAUUGGAAGGGAGGGUAGGUCUAGGGGUCUAGGUCAUAGAUUAUUAUUUUUAUAAGUUCUAAAUAUAUAUAUUUAUAUAGUAUAUAUAUUUAUAUUUAUUAUAAAUAUAUAUAUAUAUAUAUAUAUAUAUAUAUAUGAA